GGGGAAUUUUGGACAAUGGGCGCAAGCCUGAUCCAGCCAUGCCGCGUGCAGGAUGAAGGCCUUCGGGUUGUAAACUGCUUUUGUACGGAACGAAAAGGUGCCUUCUAAUAAAGGGCGCUCAUGACGGUACCGUAAGAAUAAGCACCGGCUAACUACGUGCCAGCAGCCGCGGUAAUACGUAGGGUGCGAGCGUUAAUCGGAAUUACUGGGCGUAAAGCGUGCGCAGGCGGUUUUGUAAGACAGAUGUGAAAUCCCCGGGCUUAACCUGGGAACUGCGUUUGUGACUGCAAGGCUGGAGUACGGCAGAGGGGGGUGGAAUUCCACGUGUAGCAGUGAAAUGCGUAGAGAUGUGGAAGAACACCGAUGGCGAAGGCAGCUCCCUGGGUUGACACUGACGCUCAUGCACGAAAGCGUGGGGAGCAAACA
rnacentral:rRNA from 1 species